rnacentral:rRNA from 1 species
GACGAACGCUGGCGGCGUGCUUAACACAUGCAAGUCGAACGGAAAGGCCCUGCUUUUGUGGGGUUCUCGAGUGGCGAACGGGUGAGUAACACGUGAGUAACCUGCCCUUUACUUUGUGAUAACUUCAGGAAACUGGGGCUAAUACCGGAUAUGAUCUCCUGCUGCAUGGUGGGGGUUGGAAAUUUUCGGCGGUUGGGGAUGGACUCGCGGCUUAUCAGCUUGUUGGUGGGGUAGUGGCUUACCAAGGCUUUGACGGGUAGCCGGCCUGAGAGGGUGACCGGGCACAAUGGGACUGAGAUACGGCAAAGAAUGGAACGGGAGGCAGCAGUGGGGAAUAUAGAAGAAUGGGGGGAAGCGUGAUGAAGAAAAGCAGGGUGGGGGAAGAAGGGAUAGGGGUAGAAAAAAGAAUUAGAAUGAGAAGAAGAGAGAGUGACGGUAAUGGGUAAAGAAGCACCGGCUAACUACGUG